rnacentral:rRNA from 1 species
UACGUAGGGUGCGAGCGUUGUCCGGAAUUAUUGGGCGUAAAGAGCUUGUAGGCGGUCUGUCGCGUCUGCUGUGAAAAUCCGGGGCUCAACCCCGGACUUGCAGUGGGUACGGGCGGACUAGAGUGUGGUAGGGGAGACUGGAAUUCCUGGUGUAGCGGUGAAAUGCGCAGAUAUCAGGAGGAACACCGAUGGCGAAGGCAGGUCUCUGGGCCACUACUGACGCUGAGAAGCGAAAGCAUGGGGAGCGAACAGG